CGCCGCCGCCGCCGCCAGAAUUUCCGGCUACUCUACAGCAGAAUUCUCCACCACCCAUCUUAAAACACGGACACCAAAUGGUCACCGUCGAGCAGUAACUCGCCGCCGACAUCUUGUUAUCAACUCUACUUUGUUGUCUGGUGUCGCUUUCGAGUUCUGGUUCUGAUUGAAGCAAGGUACCUCUCUGCCAUUGCUGCCUAAACCAUGUUUGUAGUAUCUCCACACUCUUGUUUUACGCAUGAACUUCAGUGAUCAGGAUGAGAUUAUAACUGCUCUAUGUGUCCUGAGAAGCUCGCCUGUUUUACAAACCUACGUAUUUCAGCUCGCCAAGAUGUCCAUGUUCGUGUAGAAGUAAACUCUUGGUUAGAUGAUAACCAAACUUUCCUAUUCACCGAACUGAGACUUGUGGAGAUUAGCCGCCUCUCUGGCAUCAAAGUUGAACUAGAUUUCAUCGGACUUUUGCUUUCAAGUUCCCCUGUGCUUGAGAGAAUGACCAUUGCCAGCAUUGCGCCUGGUGCUGUUGCUGAUGCCAUUUACUCAGAACUACUAA